GGGAGGGUCGUGUUCCGUGUCAGGUGCGCGCCGCUGUGCGGCUGAGGCGCUGCGUGUUUGCAAUUAAGCCCCUGAGAACCAAGAGCAGAGACAACCCAAAUCCCCCCUUUUUGUUUUAAGUGAAAAUAUGGAAGUUGUAGCAUAAAAUUACAGUAUCUGUGAAAUUAGAACCACCAGCUCCCUGUCAUCUUGUAGCUCCCGCGCCCCGCGCCCCGCUGCUCCCUGACGCCUGGAUGGCACUUGGCGAACGUUUGCAGAAUAGGAUCGAAUUUAAUGUCCCCACCGAGGCUGUCGUUCAUUCAUUCAGCAUUAUUGAGUAUCUGCCGUGUACCAGGAUUGAAUCGUCCUGGAGACACCAUGCUGAACAAGACUGUCCCUGCCCUCAGGAAGCUCUCAGUUUGGUUACUUGACAACCUUCAGAGACACCCCCCUCCCCCUGCUCCAGUUCUGUUUCUAUUUGCUGCCACAAGGAUUUUGUGACUGCCUAACGUGCUGGAUUACAAGAUCAACACUAGGUGCAUACUUGGUGCGAAAUACGGUGCCCAGGACACCAAGUGCCGGGUGGAGAACGUAUAAGAUGGUAGCGGUCCAGUUUUCCCAGCACCACUUAUUGAAGAGGUCGUCUUUUCUCCGCUGUAUGUUCUUGUCUCCUUUGCCAUAGAUUAAUUGACCCAUCCAUCUUCCAGACUGACUUUCUCCACAAGUCAAGAACCUUGGCUGCUGACAGUUCUAGGCUCAUGUCUUUCCAGCUUCACCACCUGAGAAAAAAGAGCUUAUUAUCACCUACCUCAGCUUAAACAAGCAUGGCAAAGGACUCUGGUUGCAUUGGCUUAAGCCAUGUGCUCACCUUCUGAACCAAUCUGUGUGGCCAGGGUGUUAGGACUUUGUGACUGGCAUGUCCAGUGUUAGGUGCCAUGGCAAGGGAGGAAAGGUCCUAAAUCACUCAUUUAGGCUACAUGUUAGAGUAGGGAAUGAGGCAAGGGGAGCAAUGGUGCUCCAUAAGGAAAGUGAGUGAUAACAACAUGGCCAAGUCUUAAAUCACUGAGAACUUAGGCGUUUCCUUGGUUUAUGUCUUAUACAGUUCUCAAGAGGUUCUUUCAUAAUGUUUCAUGUAUGAGAUGUUAAUACUUAUUAUUUUGAGGAUAUGAAGUAGAAUAAGCUCAGAAGAAGCAUUAUACUGCUCAGCACUCAGUCAUGUCCAUCCCUGCCAGGCCUUGUCAGCUUAACACACCUUCCUUGGUUGAGCAUACUGGCACUGCUGGACCUCUGCUGAUGGUCUCUCUUUUAACAUCUUUUCUAGGUUUCCCUACCUCAUGGAGGGCUAAGAACUUUGCUCCCACACAAGGAACAUUUGGAAUGUUAGAUUCCGGAGGAUAUACACACAAUAGCACUUAAUAAAUAUUUGUCAUAUUGAAUUGAA